rnacentral:rRNA from 1 species
AUUGAACGCUGGCGGCAGGCCUAACACAUGCAAGUCGAACGAGUGGCGGACGGGUGAGUAAUGCCUGGGAAACUGCCUGAUGGGGGGGGAUAACUACUGGAAACGGUAGCUAAUACCGCAUACUAUCGGAGGUGCCGAUAUGGGAUUAGCUAGUAGGUGGGGUAAAGGCUCACCUAGGCGACGAUCACUAGCGGGUCUGAGAGGAUGACCAGCCACACUGGAACUGAGACACGGCCCAGACUCCUACGGGAGGCAGCAGUGGGGAAUAUUGCACAAUGGGCGCAAGCCUGAUGCAGCCAUGCCGCGUGUAUGAAGAAGGCCUUCGGGUUGUAAAGUACUUUCGUCAGGGAGGCGGUACCCGCAGAAGAAGCACCGGCUAACUCCGUGCCAGCAGCCGCGGUAAUAC